AAGCCCCAGUAAACGGCGGUGGUAACUAUAACCAUCCUAAGGUAGCGAAAUUCCUUGUCGGGUAAGUUCCGACCUGCACGAAUGGAGUAACGACUUCCCUACUGUCUCAACCAUGAACUCGGUGAAAUUGCAGUACGAGUAAAGAUGCUCGUUUCGCGCAGCAGGACGGAAAGACCCCGUGACCUUUACUAUAGUUUGGUAUUGGUGUUUGGGUUGGCUUGUGUAGGAUAGGUGGGAGACUGUGAAGCCGUCACGCUAGUGGUGGUGGAGUCGUUGUUGAAAUACCACUCUGGUCAAUCUGAGCGUCUAACUUCGGGCCAUGAUCUGGUUCAGGGACAGUGCCUGAUGGGUAGUUUAACUGGGGCGGUUGCCUCCUAAAGUGUAACGGAGGCGCCCAAAGGUUCCCUCAGCCUGGUUGGCAAUCAGGUGUUGAGUGUAAGUGCACAAGGGAGCUUGACUGUGAGACUGGCAGGUCGAGCAGGGACGAAAGUCGGGACUAGUGAUCCGGCGGUACGUUGUGGAACGGCCGUCGCUCAACGGAUAAAAGGUACCUCGGGGAUAACAGGCUGAUCUUGCCCAAGAGUCCAUAUCGACGGCAUGGUUUGGCACCUCGAUGUCGGCUCGUCGCAUCCUGGGGCUGGAGUCGGUCCCAAGGGUUGGGCUGUUCGCCCAUUAAAGCGGUACGCGAGCUGGGUUCAGAACGUCGUGAGACAGUUCGGUCCCUAUCCGCUGCGCGCGUUGGAGAAUUGAGAAAGGCUGUCCUUAGUACGAGAGGACCGGGACGGACGAACCUCUGGUAUGUCAGUUGUACCGCCAGGUGCAUGGCUGAUUGGCUACGUUCGGGAGGGAUAACCGCUGAAAGCAUCUAAGCGGGAAGCUUGUUUCGUGAUGAGUUCUCCUGGCCCCCGUGUGGGGUGUGAGGUUCCCUGUAGAUGACGGGGUUGAUAGGCCGGGUAUGGAAGCGCUGUAAGGUGUGGAGUUGACUGGUACUAAUAGACCGAAGGCUUACAUUA
rnacentral:rRNA from 1 species